rnacentral:rRNA from 1 species
CUUAGUUUUUACACUGAAACUCUGAGAAAAAACACAAAUGAAUCAAAACUUUCAACAACGGAUCUCUUGGUUCUGGCAUCGAUGAAGAACGCAGCGAAAUGCGAUAAGUAAUGUGAAUUGCAGAAUUCAGUGAAUCAUCGAAUCUUUGAACGCACAUUGCGCCCUCUGGUAUUCCGGAGGGCAUGCCUGUUCGAGCGUCAUUUCAACCCUCAAGCAUUGCUUGGUGUUGGGGCACUGCUUUUAACGAAGCAGGCCCUGAAAUCUAGUGGCGAGCUCGCCAGGACCCCGAGCGCAGUAGUUAAACCCUCGCUCUGGAAGGCCCUGGCGGUGCCCUGCCGUUAAACCCCCAACUUCUGAAAAUUUGACCUCGGAUCAGGUAGGAAUACCCGCUGAACUUAAGCAUAUCAAUAAGCGGAGGAA